rnacentral:rRNA from 1 species
CCUACGGGACGCACCAGAGGGGAAUAUUGCACAAUGGGCGCAAGCCUGAUGCAGCCAUGCCGCGUGUAUGAAGAAGGCCUUCGGGCUGUAAAGUACUUUCAGCGGGGAGGAAGGCGGAGAGGUUAAUAACCUCAUCGAUUGACGUUACCCGCAGAAGAAGCACCGGCUAACUCCGUGCCAGCAGCCGCGGUAAUACGGAGGGUGCAAGCGUUAAUCGGAAUUACUGGGCGUAAAGCGCACGCAGGCGGUCUGUCAAGUCGGAUGUGAAAUCCCCGGGCUCAACCUGGGAACUGCAUUCGAAACUGGCAGGCUAGAGUAUUGUAGAGGGGGGUAGAGUUCCAGGUGUAGCGGUGAAAUGCGUAGAGAUCUGGAGGAAUACCGGUGGCGAAGGCGGCCCCCUGGACAAAGACUGACGCUCAGGUGCGAAAGCGUGGGGAGCAAACAGGAUUAGAUACCCCCGUAGUC